rnacentral:sRNA from 1 species
UAUAAACCAUAAUCGAGGCUGAUCCUGC